rnacentral:rRNA from 1 species
UGGGGAAUUUUCCGCAAUGGGGGCAACCCUGACGGAGCAACGCCGCGUGCGGGAUGAAGGCCUUCGGGUUGUAAACCGCUGUCAGUUGGGAGGAAGGCCCCGUGAAGAGCGGGGUUUGACCCAUCUUCAGAGGAAGUCCGGGCUAAGUUCGUGCCAGCAGCCGCGGUAACACGAACCGGACGAACGUUAUUCGGAAUUAUUGGGCUUAAAGGGUGCGUAGGCGGCGCGUUAAGUCGGGUGUGAAAUCCCUCAGCUCAACUGAGGAACUGCGCCCGAUACUGGCGUGCUCGAGGGAGACAGGGGUGAGCGGAACUGAUGGUGGAGCGGUGAAAUGCGUUGAUAUCAUCAGGAACACCGGUGGCGAAAGCGGCUCACUGGGUCUCUUCUGACGCUGAGGCACGAAAGCUAGGGUAGCGAACGGGAUUAGAUACCCCCGUAGUCC